UACAUAAUGAGUUCUAGGACAGCCAGAGCUACUAUAGGGAGACCCUGUCUCAAAAAACUAAAAGUUACCUUUCUGUUGCACUAAUUUUAUCAUAAUACUUUACAUUUUGGGUAAUAAUAGCAUGUUACUCAUAAUAGAAGUUCAUACCACAUGUACUGCAGUUUGGUCACACUCACCAAUCAUGAACCUCUCUUCUCUGUUCCACUCCACACAGCAGUUUCCCAGCUGGUUUUCCCCCAACACACAUUUCUAUGUCUGUCUUUUCUGACCCACUGAGAUUCAUUCAGCUUCCUUACAGGAAAUUGGAUGAGGGCUCCUGAAACCCCUGCUGAGGAUCAGGAGACAUAUCAUCACUCUGGUGCCUACAAUAGACAGAGAUGCUUCCAGGGGCCGUGCCAAUCUGAUGCCUCUUGCCAGCUGGUCCAGGAUUAAGUCUUAAUGCCAGAAGCAUGUAAUCCAUAGCCUGUUAUAUAUUCUAUUAUCUCUCUUAUAUGCAGAAACUUUAAAAACCAAACACCACUAUUGUAAUUUGCACAUAAACACUGCAGACUGGUCUCAUUGCAUCUCAGCUGGGCACAGCAGGGGAGCCCUGCAAGACUCUCAGCUGGGAGGGAAACUUGGAGCCAGAACUGCUGAAGGAAAGCUGAGAUGGAGCUGAUCCCCAGCCUUUCCAUGGAAACCUGGGUGCUGCUGGCUACCAGCCUGGUGCUCAUCUACAUGUAUGGGACCUAUUCUAAUGGGAUUUUUAAGAAGCUCGGCAUUCCUGGACCCAAACCUCUGCCUUU